rnacentral:misc_RNA from 1 species
GAUGAAGAACGUAGCGAAAUGCGAUAAGUAGUGUGAAUUGCAGAAUUCAGUGAAUCAUCGAAUCUUUGAACGCACAUUGCGCCCCUUGGUAUUCCAUGGGGCAUGCCUGUUCGAGCAUCAUUUGUACCUUCAAGCUCUGCUUGGUGUUGGGUGUUUGUCUCGCCUCUGCGUGUAGACUCGCCUCAAAACAAUUGGCAGCCGGCGUAUUGAUUUCGGAGCGCAGUACAUCUCGCGCUUUGCACUCAUAACGACGACGUCCAAAAGUACAUUUUACACUCUUGACCUCGGAUCAGGUAGGGAUACCCGCUGAACUUAAGCAUAUCAAUAAGCGGAGGA